AACGAACGCUGGCGGCAGGCCUAACACAUGCAAGUCGAACGAAAUCUUCGGGGUUAGUGGCGCACGGGUGAGUAACGCGUGGGAACGUGCCCUUUGGUUCGGAAUAACUCAGGGAAACGGGUGCUAAUACCGAAUGUGUCCUUCGGGCCAAAGAUUUAUCGCCAUUGGAGGGGCCCGCGUUUGAUUAGCUAGUUGGUGAGGUAACGGCUCACCAAGGCGACGAUCAGUAGCUGGUCUGAGAGGAUGACCAGCCACACUGGGACUGAGACACGGCCCAGACUCCUACGGGAGGCAGCAGUGGGGAAUCUUGCGCAAUGGGCGAAAGCCUGACGCAGCCAUGCCGCGUGAGUGAUGAAGGUCUUAGGGUUGUAAAGUUCUUUUACCCGGGACGAUAAUGACGGUACCCGGAGAAGAAGCCCCGGCUAACUCCGUG
rnacentral:rRNA from 1 species